CUCCCUUGUCAUGCUGCUCUCAGCUACUGCAAUUUUGAUACACGGCUGUGAAAUUGUGCUUGGUUCUUGUGUCUUGGUUUUUGUGAUGAGUGCCAUGGCUAUGAAUGAUGGUGUUGAAUGUGCUGAACUGCUAACAGAAUUGCUGUUUUC
rnacentral:lncRNA from 1 species